rnacentral:rRNA from 1 species
AGCGAACGCUGGCGGCAGGCUUAACACAUGCAAGUCGAGCGGGCCCUUCGGGGUCAGCGGCGGACGGGUGAGUAACGCGUGGGAACGUGCCUUCUGGUUCGGAAUAACCCUGGGAAACUAGGGCUAAUACCGGAUACGCCCUUUUGGGGAAAGGUUUACUGCCGGAAGAUCGGCCCGCGUCUGAUUAGCUAGUUGGUGGGGUAACGGCCUACCAAGGCGACGAUCAGUGGCUGGUCUGAGAGGAUGAUCAGCCACACUGGGACUGAGACACGGCCCAGACUCCUACGGGAGGCAGCAGUGGGGAAUAUUGAACAAUGGGCGCAAGCCUGAUCCAGCCAUGCCGCGUGAGUGAUGAAGGCCUUAGGGUUGUAAAGCUCUUUUAUCCGGGACGAUAAUGACGGUACCGGAGGAAUAAGCCCCGGCUAACUUCGUGCCAGCCGCCGCGGUAA